GCCGGGCAUGGUGGCGCAUGCCUGUAGUCCCAGCUACUUGGGAGGCUGAGGCAGGGCAAUUGUUUGAACCCAGGAGGUGGAUGUUGCAGUGAGCCGAAAUUGUCCCACUGCACUCCAGCCUGGGCAACAGAGCAAGACUCUGUCUCAA
rnacentral:SRP_RNA from 1 species